rnacentral:rRNA from 1 species
GACGAACGCCGGCGGCGUGCUUAACACAUGCAAGUCGAGCGGGGUGAUGGUGCUUGCACUAUCACUUAGCGGCGGACGGGUGAGUAAUGCUUAGGAAUCUGCCUAUUAGUGGGGGACAACAUCUCGAAAGGGAUGCUAAUACCGCAUACGUCCUACGGGAGAAAGCAGGGGAUCACUUGUGACCUUGCGCUAAUAGAUGAGCCUAAGUCGGAUUAGCUAGUUGGUGGGGUAAAGGACUACCAAGGCGACGAUCUGUAGCGGGUCUGAGAGGAUGAGCCGCCACACUGGGACUGAGACACGGCCCAGACGCCUACGGGAGGCAGCAGUGGGGAAUAUUGGACAAUGGGGGGAACCCUGAUCCAGCCAUGCCGCAUGUGUGAAGAAGGCCUUAUGGUUGUAAAGCACUUUAAGCGAGGAGGAGGCUCUUUUGGUUAAUACCCAAGAUGAGUGGACGUUACUCGCAGAAUAAGCACCGGCUAACUCUGUGCCAGCAGCCGCGGUAA